UUGCAGCGCAUGCGCUGUGCUGUCUUUGAAUGUGUGCGUGCGUCAAAAGCGAGCAAAACGCCGCUGUGUCAAAAAAUGUGUAAACAAACUCAGUUGGAGUUCAGAAAAGUAAACAUGCGCAAUCCGCUUGGUUAUGUGCAAAAAUUCGUGAAAUAAUCUAAAUAUUCUUUAUUUUGAACAGAUCUUACUUAUUACCGAUAUGUGCAGUGCCGUGGAAUAACAAAAAUUGCUUCAAAAAAGCUGUGUGUGUGGCUGAUACUCUAGCAUCUUUCCAUGUGUGUAAACAACGCCAAGAGUAUUACUGUUUUGUGAUCAUCAUAUUUCAUUCGGAUUGCACAUUACCGGGCAGAAAAAGCUUCAAGCAACCAAUUUUGUACAGCAUCCGCACGCUGUAUGAAGGUGUAAAACAAAUUUUCAUCUGUAAGAUGCUCUUCAAACCUGUCCAGUGACUCUUCGUUGCUUAUAUAUUGCAUCGGGAUGGUUUGAGCAUUGCGGCGCACGCCUUUCAUCGGGUGUAUUGUGGCCACUACCGCAGCCGUUUGGGCAGUUCGGACAUCCAGUUUUAAUAAUGAACAUUGUGAACAAAAAUCGUGCCCAGGACAAGUUCUUUUUGCUUGAAUUAACUCUGUGUUCUUAUUUACAUGAAUAGAUACGGUGGACGGAUGAAUGCUGCUUGCUGACGACUACUCUUCGUGAAAUGUUGAUCCCGGUGAUGAAACACACGGUUCCGGUGUCAUGCUUGGUGACGGCUGACGGGAUCCUUGAUGCACGACAGUCGUUUUUGCCGGUCACGCAACGUCAUGCGUGCAUGAACCAGCAGCUGAAGCAACAGACGAUUUCGGCGUCGCACUUGUAGUCGGCUGCGAUCCUUGCAUUUGUUCGUCAAACGAUCCUAACGAUCACGGAAUGCCAUCCACGGAUCCAGCAACGGGAAUGACCGAUGGUACCGGCGUCGCACUUGUGGUCAGCUGCGAUCCAUGCGAACGCUUUAACGACAUUGUCGCUAGUGGAACAACACGCACGGAACUAGCAGGCACAAGAAUCAUCCCACGUAUCGCUUUCGUUGAGGGUUGCGUUCCUCGCUUUUGUUCCAUCGAUCCUGCCGGACGCGUAGCGAUAUCCACGGAACCAGCAGUGAGAGCAGUAGAAGAUUCCGACGUCGCAGAUGAUCCUGCCGGUCGCGUAGCGAUAUCCAUGGAACCAGCACCGGGGG